rnacentral:rRNA from 1 species
AGUGAACGCUGGCGGCAGGCCUAACACAUGCAAGUCGAACGGCAGCGCAGCAGUAGCAAUACUGUGGGCGGCGAGUGGCGGACGGGUGAGGAAUACAUCGGAAUCUACCCUGUCGUGGGGGAUAACGUAGGGAAACUUACGCUAAUACCGCAUACGACCCACGGGUGAAAGCGGCGGACCGCAAGGCGUCGCGCGACUGGAUGAGCCGAUGUCCGAUUAGCUAGUUGGCGGGGUAAGAGCCCACCAAGGCGACGAUCGGUAGCUGGUCUGAGAGGAUGAUCAGCCACACUGGAACUGAGACACGGUCCAGACUCCUACGGGAGGCAG